GUUCUGUGUGUGUGUGUGUGUGUGUGUCCGACUUGCUUUGACAGUGAUAAUGUUCAUACGGGGGUCUGUGUGAUUGGCUUGGGAUAUUGGAGUGGGCAAAUAAAUCAUACCUGAUGGACGGCCACACGUUUACUUAAGGGCCUCCAGUAGACAUGAAGAGCCCUGAGCGAUGCUCCGGAGCGAGAUCCAACACACUGGGCAGGAAGGAGAGUAUCCAAAUCAAGGGUAAAAGGAUGCAAGCGGCGUGUUCAGAUCAGUGACUUCAAACUAGGACUACACCAAUCAGGAUCAAUGGAGGAUGGACACCAAAAGGAAUUCCACAAGGAGAGUGUGACGUUGGAAAGGGACCUAAAUGGAUAUUCAAGAUGACCUUCAGACCUGUAAUGAGACGGCUCUUCCUACCAGCCUGGAUUGAUGGAGAGCCCUGUGGAUCUUGUCUUGCUCUCAGUUGCACGUCUUCUCAGGCUGAACUCUAAUUGUCUCGGACAGGACUAGCUGAACAAUUGGUUCCCUUAAAUCAGAACCAAUCCGGGAACUCCAUCUAGUGCGCUCUUCGAGCUGAAGUUGUGCUCUUCAGCUGAGGAGGUAAGGAAACCUUCACUGGGGCUUCAAGAUGUAAAGAGGAGAAUGUUUCAAAGUGUUCCAUGGUACUCUGAUGAAGACCGUUGGUGUGUUCCACUGGCUGAGAGGAAGAACCCACACAUCUUCCUCUUGGCCUUUCUCCUCUCAGAAUCCUGGCGCCAUCUUGAAGGAUAUUCCAGCUCAUGUAACUGAUGUCACGACAGAUUCACAAACACUUGGUUUCUCCUGAGGGGCGUUUCUAUAGAACUGAAGACUUCAGACGGCACUGUAUCCCAGCAUGCAUCUCUGCUCACUCAGACCACACCCCCAUGAGUAGGAUGCAACACUCUUGGGAUGGAGAUGUAGUGUUUUAUAAGUAACGAGGGAGCAGACUAAGGGGAUUAGAACGUAAUGGAAUGUCAAGUCUAAAUCUUUAAACCAUGAAGAUGGUUGGAAAAGUCAGGAAUUUGGCUUAUUUUUAAUAUGGGCAGUCCUUUCACUCGGAUGCUCACUUGAAAUGUACAUGCGUUGGCUGGCUGGCAUGAUUUGCUGUUGGUGAUGAGGCGGUCAGGGUGACGUUGCAGGGCUAUGGUCGGCUCUCUGUGAGCUCAACGUUUAGAUUUUCUCUGGUUUGUACCCUGAAUAAUCUAGAUAAUUGUAAAAUGUAGACACGGUUUUGCAUUGAAUGAUUCCAGGAUUUUAGGUUUAAAGUUGUUGUGCAUGGUAGUUUGGUUCUUCGUAUGGUUUUGAGUGAUUAUAACUUGUACACACUGGGUGCAUAAUAAUGUAAUGUUACACUGAAUAGUAUUAAUGACCAACAGCAACAAACAGAUCCCCUCAAGGUAAGUCUGUUGGCUGUAUUUUAAUGAAGACCAUCGCUGGACUUCAGGAUCUUCCUCCGUUCAGCUCAAGGUGAGGCGCUGGUUACGUUUUUUCUUUGGUUGGUUCCGGCUGGAAUGUUCGGAUUCCAGUCGGACGGUUUGUGCUUCCCGCCGUGGAAGGUUCUGAGUGCGGUCACUUGAUUUAGUCCCAAUGGUUAGCAUAGAAAGUUGUAGUCUUGACAACCAUAAGAACACUGACACGAAUUUCGUACAAUAUGUUAAUUUCCGAUGGUUGCGCCGUACUUUUAACCACGUUGACGGGACUCUCGCUGCGUACAAAACGGCGUUCUACUUGCGGCCCAAUUUUUGGUGAAGGCUGAAAAUCAUUUCAAGGUGGAAGACAACUCAAAGGUGAGGCUGAGAGGCUUGGGACCGGAGGCUUGUGGUGCCAGGAUGGACCGGAGACUGAGGCUGGAGACCAGGGGCCUGCAGCACCGGACCAGAGGACCAGGAAUCCAUGGCUGAAGGAGCUGAUGGAGGCCCUGCCUGGUGGAGGAGCCAUGCUGAAAGCCCUGCCUGGUGGAGGAGCUGACGGAGGCCCUGCCUGGUGGAGGAUGUCUGUCGUGGGACCAGGACUCUUUCUGAGGAGAGCAGAUGGAGGAGCUGAGACGCUGGAGGACAACUAGGAAUCAACCAACAAGGAUUCCUCAACGUGUUUCUGGAGCGGAGGCGAGCUGAUGGGGGAGCCGUGAAUCUGGAGGAUGACGUCACUCUACCAACAAAGAUUACCAGGACUCUGGCUGAGGAGAGCUGAUGGAGGAGCCAUAAAACCAGGAAUCUGGAGGACUGACGGAGAAGCUGUACAUCUGGAAGGCAAAUCCUGAGGACGAUCAGGACUCUACCAUCAAGGAUUCCUCACACGCAUGAGCUGAACCUCACCUGAUCCUGUUUGGUCGGGGGCAGACGCACCUGAGCUGAACCCCACCUGAUCCGGACAUCCUGCUGGUCCCGUCUCCUCAGUUCAUCUGAGCCUCUUCCUCCAGAAGACAUGCUGAGCUCGGCGGUCUGAGGCUGAUGUAUCAAUGACCUCCAGUGGGAGUGAUCUUCUUGACCCCACAUGUAGCCGUGUGCUUCCACACGCCUUUCCCUCACGUCUGUCACUAACCUCAUUACUUCACUACUCUCUACUCCUUCUCCUUCUUCUUCCUUCUCCGUGGUUCGAACCUUUACUCUGAAGGAGAAUCUCCUUGAACCUUUACACUGAAGGAGCGUCUUCCUGUCCUCAGAGGGUUCAGCGUUAGGGUUGAGAGUCAGGGUUUAGAGUCAGGGACAGAGCUGGUCAGGGAGGGCUGGUUUUACAUAAACCUUUUCACUUGCUUUCUGAAUGGUGGUGACAUUUUGAAAAGAUUAAUUUGGGAAAAUGUUUUCCUCUUUUUUUGCUUUACAAAAAUAUGUAUUAAACUUCUGUGUUUGUAACCAGACCAGGUAUCCAUGGCUGAAGGAGCUGAUGGUGGAGCCGUGCUGAAAGAGCGGAUGGAGGAGCCGUGCUGACGGCCCUGCCUGGUGGAGGAGCCGUGCUGACGGCCCUGCCUGGUGGAGGAGCCGUGCUGACGGCCCUGCCUGGUGGAGGAGCCGUGCUGACGGCCCUGCCUGGUGGAGGAGCCGUGCUGACGGCCCUGCCUGGUGGAGGAUGUCUGUCGUGGGGUAGAUGGAGCCUGACUCUGUGACAUCACACUCACUGCCACUUCUCGUAGAAUACUGCUACCACAAACCACCGGCGUUUGUAACAAUAUACCAGACGACUACAUCUGUUUUACCACAUGUUGAAGCAAGACUUCUGCUGUUUGUUCCAGACCAGGACUCUGUCUGAGGAGAGCAGAUGGAGGAGCUGAGAUGCUGGAGGACAACUAGGAAUCGACCAACAAGGAUUCUUCAACGUGUUUCUGGAGCGGAGGCCAGCUGGUAGGGGAGCCGUGAAUCUGGAGGAUGACCAUCACUCUACCAACAAGGAUUACUUUAGGGCCAGACUCGCGCUGUUUGUUCCAGACCAGGACUCUGGCUGAGGAGAGCUGAUGGAGGAGCCAAGACUCUGUAGGACGACAUCACUCCACCAACCAGGAUCCUCACCAGGAAUCUGGAGGACUGACGGAGAAGCUGUACAUCUGGAAGGCAAAUCCUGAGGACGAUCAGGACUCUACCAUCAAGGAUUCCUCACACACAUGAGCUGAACCUCACCUGAUCCUGUUUGGUUGGCGGGCAGACGCACCUGAGCGGAUCCCACCUGAUCCGGACAUCCUGCUGGUCCCGUCUCCUCAGUUCAUCUGAGCCUCUUCCUCCAGAAGACAUGCUGAGCUCGGCGGUCUGAGGCUGAUACCAGGUAUCCAUGGCUGAAGGAGCUGAUGGUGGAGCCGUGCUGAAAGAGCGGAUGGAGGAGCCGUGCUGACGGCCCUGCCUGGUGGAGGAGCCGUGCUGACGGCCCUGCCUGGUGGAGGAGCCGUGCUGACGGCCCUGCCUGGUGGAGGAUGUCUGUCGUGGGACCAGGACUCUGUCUGAGGAGAGCAGAUGGAGGAGCUGAGAUGCUGGAGGACAACUAGGAAUCGACCAACAAGGAUUCUUCAACGUGUUUCUGGAGCGGAGGCCAGCUGGUAGGGAGCCGUGAAUCUGGAGGAUGACCAUCACUCUACCAACAAGGAUUACUUUAGGGCCAGACUCGCGCUGUUUGUUCCAGACCAGGACUCUGGCUGAGGAGAGCUGAUGGAGGAGCCAAGACUCUGUAGGACGACAUCACUCCACCAACCAGGAUCCUCACCAGGUAUCCAUGGCUGAAGGAGCUGAUGGUGGAGCCGUGCUGAAAGAGCGGAUGGAGGAGCCGGGCUGACGGCCCUGCCUGGUGGAGGAGCCGUGCUGACGGCCCUGCCUGGUGGAGGAGCCGUGCUGACGGCCCUGCCUGGUGGAGGAUGUCUGUCGUGGACCAGGACUCUGUCUGAGGAGAGCAGAUGGAGGAGCUGAGAUGCUGGAGGACAACUAGGAAUCGACCAACAAGGAUUCUUCAACGUGUUUCUGGAGCGGAGGCCAGCUGGUAGGGGAGCCGUGAAUCUGGAGGAUGACCAUCACUCUACCAACAAGGAUUACUUUAGGGCCAGACUCGCGCUGUUUGUUCCAGACCAGGACUCUGGCUGAGGAGAGCUGAUGGAGGAGCCAAGACUCUGUAGGACGACAUCACUCCACCAACCAGGAUCCUCAGACGAAUUACGUUUGUAACCAGACCAGGAAUCUGGAGGACUGAUGGAGAAGCCGUACAUCUGGAAGGCAAAUCCUGAGGACCAGCAGGACUCUACCAUCAAGGAUUCCUCAUAAGUUUGCAUUAUCUGGACAAAGUGGCCUAGACACACCUGAGCUGAACCUCACCUGAUCCUGUUUGGUCGGGGUAGACACACCUGAGCUAAACCCACCCUGAUCCUGACAUCCUGCUGGUCCAGUCUCCUCAGUUCUCCUGAGCCUCGUCCCAGGCUGAUGGAUCAAUGACCUCCAGUGGGAGGGAUCUUCUUGACCCCACUUGUAACCGUGUGCUUCCACACGCCUUUCCCUCACAUCUGUCACUAACCUCACUACUUCACUACUCUCUACUGCUUCCUCUUUUCUUCCUUCUCUGUGGUUUAAACCUUUUAUACUGAAGGCGCGUCUUCCUGCCCUCAGAGGGUUUAGCGUUAGGGUUGAGAGUCAGGGUUUAGAGUCAGGGACAGAGCUGGUCAGGGAGGACUGCUUUUACACAAACCUCUUGACUUGCUUUCGGAAUGGUGGUGACAUUUUGAAAAGAUUCAUUUGGUAAAAUCUUUUCCUCUGCUUCCCUUUACAAAAUUGUAUCAAACUUCUGUCAAGUGUUUUUGUUUAAAUAUUAAAAUCCCACAUUGACUUCUACAUGUUUGGUGCGGUUCAUUUAUUUGUCCUUUUAACUUGGUUAAUGU